rnacentral:rRNA from 1 species
CUCCUACGGGAGGCAGCAGUAGGGAAUCUUCCGCAAUGGACGAAAGUCUGACGGAGCAACGCCGCGUGAGUGAUGAAGGUUUUCGGAUCGUAAAACUCUGUUGUUAGGGAAGAACAAGUACCAGAGUAACUGCUGGUACCUUGACGGUACCUAACCAGAAAGCCACGGCUAACUACGUGCCAGCAGCCGCGGUAAUACGUAGGUGGCAAGCGUUGUCCGGAAUUAUUGGGCGUAAAGCGCGCGCAGGCGGUCCUUUAAGUCUGAUGUGAAAGCCCACGGCUCAACCGUGGAGGGUCAUUGGAAACUGGGGGACUUGAGUACAGAAGAGAAGAGUGGAAUUCCACGUGUAGCGGUGAAAUGCGUAGAGAUGUGGAGGAACACCAGUGGCGAAGGCGACUCUUUGGUCUGUAACUGACGCUGAGGCGCGAAAGCGUGGGGAGCAAACAGGAUUAGAUACCCUGGUAGUCCACGCUGUAAACGAUGAGUGCUAAGUGUUAGAGGGUUUCCGCCCUUUAGUGCUGCAGCUAACGCAUUAAGCACUCCGCCUGGGGAGUACGGCCGCAAGGCUGAAACUCAAAGGAAUUGACGG